GACGAACGCUGGCGGCGUGCCUAAUACAUGCAAGUCGAACGCUGAAGGAGGAGCUUGCUUCUCUGGAUGAGUUGCGAACGGGUGAGUAACGCGUAGGUAACCUGCCUGGUAGCGGGGGAUAACUAUUGGAAACGAUAGCUAAUACCGCAUAAGAGUAGAUGUUGCAUGACAUUUACUUAAAAGGUGCAAUUGCAUCACUACCAGAUGGACCUGCGUUGUAUUAGCUAGUUGGUGAGGUAACGGCUCACCAAGGCAACGAUACAUAGCCGACCUGAGAGGGUGAUCGGCCACACUGGGACUGAGACACGGCCCAGACUCCUACGGGAGGCAGCAGUAGGGAAUCUUCGGCAAUGGACGGAAGUCUGACCGAGCAACGCCGCGUGAGUGAAGAAGGUUUUCGGAUCGUAAAGCUCUGUUGUAAGAGAAGAACGAGUGUGAGAGUGGAAAGUUCACACUGUGACGGUAGCUUACCAGAAAGGGACGGCUAACUACGUG
rnacentral:rRNA from 1 species